AGUGACGACGGUGUUGGACAUGGACAGAAACAGGUUACCGAAGAAGGACUCAACAACGAAGGCAUGCCUCCUUCUUUGAUCAUACUUAUCCUAUGUUUACAAAAUUGCAUUGUGUUUUAUGGUUACUAUAUGCAUGCUUCUUAAUCUUGUAGCUAGCGUGUCGAUUGACACAUUACCUUGAUCCGCUUGUCGCCUAUUCACUUGACACCUGAGUAGAAUUAUAGUAUUCUGGUAGAGUAGAAAUGCUUAGCCAUGCUUAUUAUCCUAUAGGUGCUUUGUUGAAUGACCUUUAGGUCAUUGACACUUGAAACUUAUCGUUGAGCUAGGCCAGCUGGCCCUUGGUUAUCUCCUCUACUCUCUUCUACUCUGGGUGAAACUUACCAUCUGAAUACUGGUGCGGGCGACAGCUGAAUCAAGGAUUGAAGGAGCGAUUGGCCGCGCUUCACGAGUUGAAGGGGGCAAUCAGUCGUCCGUGCCGCAUGAGGCCUAGUAAGUCUUGGAUUUGAAGAUUGUGAUAACAGUAUAGCCACAUGCUAUAUGGGCACUGGCUUGGUUAAUUAGUUAGUUCACUCUUAUUGUCGUCAUCGUCGUACCGCAGAUGGGAUAGCUGCCUUGCGUGGAGUAUCCUCGGCACAAAAGGGGGGCCCGGACUGUGAACUGCUGUUACAUCCGUGUUGAAACCUAGUGGGCUUGGCACAGUAAGUUUGGUCUAAUGAAAAACCUCGUCACAAUCUCCCUGCCGGUAUACCAAAUGGUGUACUACGCUAGCGGCCACUGGUGGCAACAAGUCGGGAUUGUGUCGUGUGGGUAAAAUGUACAAACUCUGCAGAGUGUAAAACUAUUCGAAUAGCCGUGUCCAUGGUGAUGGACAACACAUGAAUCUUUCUUGACGUACGAGACCUGUCUUGCUUAUUCCCUCUUUGCCCCUAUUCUUGAAACCUAUGAAGGACGUGAGUUGAUCGAGGAUCCUCACUUUAUGAAAGUUAUUCUGGAGACAAAACAUGUUUUCAUCAAAAACUUCUUUUAUCCAACUGCUUUCAAACAAAAUUAGCUUUUAUGCAAAUGAGCCAUACAGCCUUCUUUUGAAGCCACAUGUAGCUAUUAGGACCUUCCCCGUGGGAGGCAUGUUGAGUAUGUAAUGUACUCAUGGCAAUAAUUUUGUUGACAACAGAGUUUCAUGGAGAUGAAGGUGAUGAGUAUGACAACUAUGGUGAUUCGUAGGAGUGAGGUCACGUGGACUACAUCGACUGCCUGUGGCUGAGAUGGAGUCACUACGCAUUUUACUUUCCGCUGUUUUCUGAUUGUAAAUGUCAUGAGACAUCUCACUAGGUAUGUCUUGUGACAAAUAUACUACUUGAAAUGCUUUUACGUAUUCUGCAAUGAUAUCAUUUCACUGUGUUGUCAACAAUGAUCCCGGGGUUGACAUACACAGGAGGGUCUGGAAGUCAAUUCCAGGUUCUCAUAAUCGUCCACGCAAGAGUGAAGCUUUGUCUGCCACCACUCUUCAGUUCACGUCGUUGAUGUUGUGAGGACUGGCAGCUCUUCAAUUCACACUGCCAAUGUUGUGAGGACUGGCAGGACUUCAAUGGGCAUGGAGGCUGCAACCUAGGGCGAGGGCAUGGUGUGUUGAGAUGGCGGAGCUGCGUUGGUGGGAGGCGGUGAUGGCGGCGGCAACGCCAAUGUCCACCGGGAUCUCUAGCCGCAAAAGUUGGAAGAACAACUUGGGGAUGUCGUGCUGCUCCUGUGUGUAGUAGAUAAAUUGCCGCCCAGAUAAAUCACCGAGACACUACCAAGUGUGUCGUUCAUUGGGCCAUGAUAAAAAAAUCUUGAGGGUGCCUCAUGUGCGACUCUAGCUAUUGAAAGUCAAAGAACUUGACUAUUUCCGGAGUUUGAUAAGGCUUUACAGUGAGUUCUCAUACUUUUACUGCUUUUGUUAUUAAGCAGAUUUUGUCAAAGCAAUUGCUAUGUUUAUGCCAUUUUCAUGUUCUAUACGUGGCUGUUUUUCCAUGUUCUAGACAUGGAUAUGAUGAUUGGUCAAUGAAGCAAUUGAUUUCUAAUACUAGCAAUUGUGUUUCUGGAUAUUCUAAUACUGACAGUUUUGUUUCAUUGUCCAACGCUGAAUCUAUUCAUAUGGUGAUGGAUGCAGCAUAACCAUCAAUUGAAGUAGAUAAUCUGCAAGGCUAUUUACCAUUAUCCAGGUUUAUUCAACAUUUAGGUUUGUAGUAAUUUAUUCAACAUCCAGGUUUGUAGUGUUAACACUGAUUUAUUUAGUCUCAAAUUGGUACGUUUCAGUUGCAUAAAGGCAUAAACAUCUGUAAUUUCUGAAUAAGUUGUAGAUGAUUUCCCAGCUGUAAGUAUAUACGAAACACACAUUAUAUUUUAUUUCACUUGUUAUCUGCACAUGGCAAUUAAUUUGAAUAGGACAAGUUAAAGUACAUCUCAUUCAACGGCGGUUUUUGUCGUGUGUUUUAAGUUUUCA
rnacentral:lncRNA from 1 species